rnacentral:lncRNA from 1 species
CAGUACAGUGGCCCAGGGCAGACUAGCUGGAAUCAGCCUCCCGGGUGGGUUUCGAGGCGUUUCCAGGGUCAGGGGUCAAGUAGGGGCAUGUUCCCGGGACACUGCUUCUUUCUGCCAGAAGGACGAAGAAUCUGGAGAGUGCAAUAUUUGGAUCUGGUCCUGCUGAUGUGUUUCUGUGCUACAGAAACCUUCUCCACCCCUCUUCUACCCAACAGCUAGAGGACAUGGGGUCCGGAAGUGCAUGUGGCUGGAGCCAGUGUGGUCGCUGUCGUGAUGGCCGAGUCCAGAUGAGCUGCCGCUGGGGAAACACAGGGUACCUGAGGUCUGAGGUCGGGACGUCUUUGUCCAACCACUAAGAGUCCACAUUCUCCUUUGGAGCCGGGUCUCCGUUUUCUCCAGCAUCAUGGGCCCCUCAAGGAAGCUGAUGCAUGCCACAGGCUGUCUUCUCAGAAAAGGUACCCAAGAACACAUUUUGGGUUUGCAUGUGGAUUGGGAAGCCCAACGUGGCCUCCAGCGGUGCUCCUUGGCUUUGUCUAGACUGCAGGAUCCCACCCAUGCCCUGUGGAUUUGCCACGUGGACACUGACGUGAGCAAAUGGACAAUUCAACAUCAGUGGCAGAAAGGAGCUCAGUCUGGUUCACACGUGGAAGGCAGCACAUUCUGAAGGAGAAUCACUUGAACCCAGGAGGCGAAGGUUGCAUUGAGCCAAGAUUGUGCUAUUGCACUCCAGCCUGGACAACAGAGCAAGACUCUGUCUCUCAAAAAAAGAAAAAGAAAAGCGACGACAUUCAGUCAAUCAGCCAGAUAUUUUUGGUGAUGCUGCAACUCUUAAUGGUAUCCUGUCUGGAUUCUGUUUAUUUAGUUCCUAAGUUGGUAAAUACAGUGCCUGUUAAUCAUUAACCUUUGCCUUGUCAUUGACAAAGAGUUCACUUGUCAAGCUGUGAGUGGAACACAGAAUUGUGAGGCCUAUGGAAUUCAAGCAUUGAUCUUGAUAUUAUGGAUGAGGACAAAAAGGGUGGGUGACUUGAAGCUGUUUUCUUCCCAGAAUUUGAGCUUUGUGAUCAUUGAAUCAGGACUUGAAUCGACACUCCUUGGCUCCCUAGUCCUUUUUCUGCUUUUCCUUUGGUGGUGAUUGGAGGCUGUAGUAGGCUGUUCUUCUGUUGCUAUAAAGAGAUACCUGAGGCUGGGCAAUUUAUAAGCAAAAGAGGUUUGAUUGGCUCCCAGUUCUGUGGGCUUUACAGGAAGCCUGGUGCCGGCAUCUGCUUGGCUCUUGGGGAGGCCUCGAGAAGCCUCCAAUCAUGGUGGAAGGCAACGGAGAAGCAGGAGGGUAGAGAGAUGCCACGUGCUUUUAAACAACCAGAUCUUGCGAGAACUCACUAUCUCAAGGAGAGCACCAAGCCAUUUAGGAGGCAUCUGCCUGGUGACCCAAACACCUCCCACCAGCCCCACCUCCAACAUUGCGAAUGACAUUUCAACGUGAGAUGUGGAGGGGACAUCCAGACUGUAUCAGAAACCAAGAGAUAACAACUUAGUAGACAUAUUCCAAAAAAUUAUGACCCACAGGGUGCCGAUCAGUGUGCAGAGAAUGUCUUCAUUUACACACAAAAAGACACAGACAAGACACUCAGCAGAGGUUCUCAGAGGGGCUAAGUGCGGAAGGCUUCGUGUGUUCAUUUUUAUUCUUUGGGGCUGAAAGAAUGCUUUAUACCAUGAGCUGUGCUUCUUUUAAAAUAGAAAUAAAAUGCUUAGUUAGU